rnacentral:rRNA from 1 species
CCCCCCCAUUAGAAUCAAACUUUAACCAAGAUGUGACAUACUUGUUGUUAAGAAGCCCAAAACCGAAAGCUAUUCUAACCAACCCACUUGAACCCACGACAGUUAGAGCACAAACUGGGAUUAGAUACCCCACUAUAUCUAGCUGUAAAAUAUUUAUUUACACCACACCUCGCCAGGGAAUUACGAGCUCAAGCUUAAAACCCAAAGGACUUGACGGUGCCCCACCCACCUAGAGGAGCCUGUUCUAUAAUCGACUCCCCCCGAUAUACCUCACCACUUCUAGCCUCUCAGCCUGUAUACCUCCGUCGUAAGUUUACCCUAUGAACGCUGACUAGUAAACUAAAAGGACCCCCCCCCCC